AUCGUAACAUUCAUGGUCAUUCCAUUGACAAAUGCUACAAGUUACAUGGAUAUCCACCAGGUUAUAAAUUAAAACAAAGGGAAGGUUUUCAAAAUACAUCUAGUCUUAAUUAUGUUAAUCAGAUUUCUUCUGCAUUUGCUUCUCAGAAUGAAGACAAACCACUCAAUCAGCAAUCUGGACUUGGAAACUUUGUUCAGAACUUGAAUUCAAACCAAUAUUAGCAACUCAUGUCUAUGCUGUCCACUCACCUGACAUCGAGUUCAAACACUGCUGAUCAAUGGACAAUCCAUAUGCAUCAUAUAUUGCAGGUAUAUGUUCAUCAGUAUCUACACAUCCUAUUUUUUUCAUCCAGUAAUAUUUGGAUAGUAGAUUUUGGUGCUACCAAACACAUAUGCUCUAUUGCUGCUGCCUUCAUGACAAUGAGAACAAUUGAAAAUUCAACUGUUACUUUACCAUAUCACACACAAAUUCCAGUAAAAAUGUGUGGUGACAUCAGAUUAAACUCAACUAUUUUGCUUCGAAAUGCUCUGUUUGUACCACAAUUCAAGUUCAACUUGUUAUCUGUUGGCGCUUUGACAUAUGACUCACAGCUUACCAUUAGUUUUUUUCCUGAUCGCUUCAUCAUUUAGGAAACCAAUACCAGGAAGAUGACUGACUGGGGUGAUCGAGUGCAAGACCUUUAUGUACAUGAUACAAAUAUUCUGAAUUCAGUCUCAAAUACAUAUGUAAAUAAUGUUUCUGUCCAUGUUUGGCAUAAUAGACUUGGCUACAUUUCUUUUAAAAGAUUAGAUAGUAUAAAAGGUCAAUUGUUCUGUGAUGUUGGCAAAUUCAAUUAGAAUAUUCCUUGUUACAUUUGUCCUCUAGCUAAACAAAGAAGGCUACCAUUUGAUUCAAAUAACCAUCUUUUAGAUUCUCCAUUUGAUCUAGUGCAUUGUAACAUUUGGGAACCUUAUCAUGUUCCCUAUUACAAUAGACACAUAUAUUUUUUAAUGGUAGAUGA
rnacentral:lncRNA from 1 species